rnacentral:rRNA from 1 species
GACGAACGCUGGCGGCGUGCUUAACACAUGCAAGUCGAACGGAAAGGCUCCAGCUUGCUGGCGUACUCGAGUGGCGAACGGGUGAGUAACACGUGGGUAAUCUGCCCUGCACUCUGGGAUAAGCCUUGGAAACUGGGUCUAAUACUGGAUAUGACCUUUCUCCUUAUGGGGUUUGGUGGAAAGUUUUUCGGUGUAGGAUGAGUCCGCGGCCUAUCAGCUUGUUGGUGGGGUGAUGGCUUACCAAGGCGACGACGGGUAGCCGGCCUGAGAGGGUGAUCGGCCACAUUGGGACUGAGAUACGGCCCAGACUCCUACGGGAGGCAGCAGUGGGGAAUAUUGCACAAUGGGCGGAAGCCUGAUGCAGCGACGCCGCGUGAGGGAUGACGGCCUUCGGGUUGUAAACCUCUUUCAGCGGGGACGAAGCGUAAGUGACGGUACCUGCAGAAGAAGCACCGGCUAACUAUGUG